rnacentral:rRNA from 1 species
AUUGAACGCUGGCGGCAGGCCUAACACAUGCAAGUCGAACGGUAGCACAGAGAGCUUGCUCUCGGGUGACGAGUGGCGGACGGGUGAGUAACGUCUGGGAAACUGCCCGAUGGAGGGGGAUAACUACUGGAAACGGUAGCUAAUACCGCAUAACGUCGCAAGACCAAAGCGGGGGACCUUCGGGCCUCUCACUAUCGGAUGAACCCAGAUGGGAUUAGCUAGUAGGCGGGGUAACGGCCCACCUAGGCGACGAUCCCUAGCUGGUCUGAGAGGAUGACCAGCCACACUGGAACUGAGACACGGUCCAGACUCCUACGGGAGGCAGCAGUGGGGAAUAUUGCACAAUGGGCGCAAGCCUGAUGCAGCCAUGCCGCGUGUAUGAAGAAGGCCUUCGGGUUGUAAAGUACUUUCAGCGGGGAGGAAGGCGAUGUGGUUAAUAACCGCAUUGAUUGACGUUACCCGCAGAAGAAGCACCGGCUAACUCCGUGCCAGCAGCCGCCGUAA